UACGGAGGGUGCGAGCGUUGUUCGGAAUUAUUGGGCGUAAAGCGCGCGCAGGCGGCUCUCUAAGUCCAUGGGUAAAAGGCCGGGGCUCAACCCCGUGUACGCCCAGGAUACUGGGGAGCUGGAGACACGUAGAGGCAAGCGGAAUUCCGGGUGUAGCGGUGGAAUGCGUAGAGAUCCGGAAGAACACCGGAGGCGAAGGCGGCUUGCUGGGCGUGAUCUGACGCUGAGGCGCGAAAGCGUGGGGAGCGAACAGG
rnacentral:rRNA from 1 species